rnacentral:rRNA from 1 species
GACGAACGCUGGCGGCGUGCUUAACACAUGCAAGUCGAACGUGAUUUUUGUGGAAAUUCUUUCGGGAAUGGAAAUGAAAUGAAAGUGGCGAACGGGUGAGUAACACGUGAGCAACCUACCUUACACAGGGGGAUAGCCGUUGGAAACGACGAUUAAUACCGCAUGAGACCCCAGAAUCGCAUGAUAUAGGGGUCAAAGAUUUAUCGGUGUAAGAAGGGCUCGCGUCUGAUUAGCUAGUUGGAAGGGUAAAGGCCUACCAAGGCGACGAUCAGUAGCCGGUCUGAGAGGAUGAACGGCCACAUUGGAACUGAGACACGGUCCAAACUCCUACGGGAGGCAGCAGUGGGGAAUAUUGCACAAUGGGGGGAACCCUGAUGCAGCGACGCCGCGUGAGCGAAGAAGGUUUUCGAAUCGUAAAGCUCUGUCCUAUGAGAAGAUAAUGACGGUAUCAUAGGAGGAAGCCCCGGCUAAAUACGUGCCAGCCGCCGCGGUAAAAC